GCCUCGAAGGCUCGAACCCAGACAUCUCCCGAUCUCCGCCUCUCCGCGGCUCCGCCCUCUCUCUGCUUCUCGUUUCGAUUCAAACCCAUAAAUCUCCGCCUCUCCGCCCUCUCGACCUCUCCUUUGAAGUUCUUUCGAUUCAAACCCAGAACUCUCCGCCUCUGGACCUCUCCUUUGAAGUUCGAUUCGAAUCAAACCCAGAAAAUCUCGUAUCAAUUCAUUCGAUUCAUGUCCUCGUACUCUCUUUUUGGCUGAUGGAGAAGGAGAGACGUGAGGAGCUCUCAGAUGAGUGAAGCCUCAGCUCUGGCUAUAGGUACUCAACUGAAUUUGCAGAAUCAACUAAUCAAGGCCUCAUUUGGGUGAACUGUGAACUAUGAAUUAUUGACUUAAAAAUUGUAUGAACUAUGGAGUGAUGAAGGGAGUUGAUGUAUGAGUGAAUAAGUGAUGAACUCAAGUAGUGAAGUUGAUGUAUGAGAGUUUUUAGUUUAUUUUUCAUUUCCAGGUUGGCCCUUCAAAUUG